AACGAACGCUGGCGGCAUGCCUAACACAUGCAGGUCGAACGAGACCUUCGGGUCUAGUGGCGCACGGGUGCGUAACGCGUGGGAACCUGCCCUUAGGUUCGGAAUAACUCCCCGAAAGGGGUGCUAAUACCGGAUAAUGUCUUCGGACCAAAGAUUUAUCGCCUUUGGAUGGGCCCGCGUUGGAUUAGCUAGUUGGUAGGGUAAAAGCCUACCAAGGCGACGAUCCAUAGCUGGUCUGAGAGGAUGAUCAGCCACACUGGGACUGAGACACGGCCCAGACUCCUACGGGAGGCAGCAGUGGGGAAUAUUGGACAGUGGGCGAAAGCCUGAUCCAGCAAUGCCGCGUGAGUGAUGAAGGCCUUAGGGUUGUAAAGCUCUUUUACCCGGGAUGAUAAUGACAGUACCGGGAGAAUAAGCUCCGGCUAACUCCGUG
rnacentral:rRNA from 1 species